rnacentral:lncRNA from 1 species
GAAAAUUUUGGAAAUACAAUUUAGGACAUUUCUAGGUUAAAUGAGAAUUAAUUUUGGCUGAAAAGAAAAACAAUUAGGUCCAAAGGUGGAGGUUUAUUUUUGAUGUCCAGGAAAAAAUGCAACACAUGGGAGGCAUGAUCCAGCAAUUACAAAGCUGCUACUUCAUGGAAAACACCUUGGUCCAGCAUAUCCAAAACGUCACGACUGC